AAUGAACGUUGGCGGCGUGGAUUAGGCAUGCAAGUCGAGCGAGAACCCGCAAGGGGGACAGCGGCAAACGGGGUAGGAAUGAUUGGUGACGUACCCUCGGGACGGGGAUAGCCACGGGAAACUGUGGGUAAUACCCGAUAAUCUCCCAGGUUUGAAGACCUGGGUGCAAAGGUGUGAUUCCACCGGAGGAGCGGCCAAUCUGGUAUUAGCUAGUUGGUAGGGUAACGGCCUACCUAGGCUACGAUGCCUAGGGGGUGUGAGAGCAUGGCCCCCACCACUGGGACUGAGAUACUGCCCAGACACCUACGGGUGGCUGCAGUCGAGAAUCUUCGGCAAUGGGCGAAAGCCUGACCGAGCGACGCCGCGUGCGGGAUGAAGGCCUUCGGGUUGUAAACCGCUGUCAGAGGGGAUGAAGUUAUAGGAGGUUCUCCUUCUAUAUUGACAGAGCCUCAGAGGAAGCACGGGCUAAGUAUGUGCCAGCCGCCGCGGUAA
rnacentral:rRNA from 1 species